UGGGGAAUUUCGGACAAUGGGCGCAAGCCUGAUCCAGCAAUGCCGCGUGCAGGAUGAAGGCCUUCGGGUUGUAAACUGCUUUUGUACGGAGCGAAAAGGUCUGCCCUAAUACGGUGGGCUCAUGACGGUACCGUAAGAAUAAGCACCGGCUAACUACGUGCCAGCAGCCGCGGUAAUACGUAGGGUGCGAGCGUUAAUCGGAAUUACUGGGCGUAAGGCGUGCGCAGGCGGUUAUAUAAGACAGAGGUGAAAUCCCCGGGCUCAACCUGGGAACUGCCUUUGUGACUGCAUAGCUAGAGUACGGUAGAGGGGGAUGGAAUUCCGCGUGUAGCAGUGAAAUGCGUAGAUAUGCGGAGGAACACCGAUGGCGAAGGCAAUCCCCUGGACCUGUACUGACGCUCAUGCACGAAAGCGUGGGGAGCAAACA
rnacentral:rRNA from 1 species